GUUUUCCACUGAACCUUAUCAUUUAGAGGAAGGAGAAGUCGUAACAAGGUUUCCGUAGGUGAAACCUGCGGAAGGAUCAUUGUCGAAUCCUGCAUACCACCGCGAACACGUUAUCAAAACCCCGGGCCGCUGGGGUGGGUCGGGGGAGACCCCCGUCCCCUCCAAUGCGCCCGAACUGAACAAAAAAUUCCGGCGCGAAAAGCGCCAAGGACUACUCAAACGGAUCGCCCGUGUCCCAGCGGCUUCCGCGGGGGGCGCACGGCGUCUGAAUCGUUUAACCAAAACGACUCUCGGCAACGGAUAUCUAGGCUCUCGCAUCGAUGAAGAACGUAGCGAAAUGCGAUACUUGGUGUGAAUUGCAGAAUCCCGUGAACCAUCGAGUUUUUGAACGCAAGUUGCGCCCGAAGCCAUUAGGCUGAGGGCACGUCCGCCUGGGCGUCACGCAUCUCGUCGCCACCCCUCCUCCCCAGCAAGGUCUGUGCGGACGGGGGGUGACGGAUGUUGGCCUCCCGUGCCCCCGUGGCGCGGCUGGCCUAAAUGCGAGUCCUCGGCGCGGGACGUCACGACGAGUGGUGGUGGUGUUACUCAUCAACACGGUUGCUGUCAUGACGACGCCCGAUGCCNAUACGGGACUGGUAGACCCUGGAGCCUUCGGGUCCUCGACUGCGACCCCACGUCGG
rnacentral:rRNA from 1 species